rnacentral:rRNA from 1 species
AGUGAACGCUGGCGGUAGGCCUAACACAUGCAAGUCGAACGGCAGCACAGUAAGAGCUUGCUCUUACGGGUGGCGGGUGGCGGACGGGUGAGGAAUACAUCGGAAUCUACUUUUUCGUGGGGGAUAACGUAGGGAAACUUACGCUAAUACCGCAUACGACCUACGGGUGAAAGCAGGGGAUCUUCGGACCUUGCGCGAUUGAAUGAGCCGAUGUCGGAUUAGCUAGUUGGCGGGGUAAAGGCCCACCAAGGCGACGAUCCGUAGCUGGUCUGAGAGGAUGAUCAGCCACACUGGAACUGAGACACGGUCCAGACUUCUACGGGAGGCAGCAGUGGGGAAUAUUGGACAAUGGGCGCAAGCCUGAUCCAGCCAUACCGCGUGGGUGAAGAAGGCCUUCGGGUUGUAAAGCCCUUUUGUUGGGAAAGAAAAGCAGCAGGUUAAUACCCCGCUGUUCUGACGGUACCCAAAGAAUAAGCACCGGCUAACUUCGUG